rnacentral:rRNA from 1 species
AGAGUUUGAUCCUGGCUCAGAUUGAACGCUGGCGGCGUGCUUAACACAUGCAAGUCGAUCGGUAACAGGUGUAGCAAUACAUGCUGACGAGAGGCGGACGGGUGAGGAAUAUUUGGGAAUCUGCCCAUCAGCGGGGGACAACCCGGGGAAACCCGGGCUAAUACCGCAUACGCUCUACGGAGGAAAGCCGGGGACCGCAAGGCCUGGCACUGAUGGAUGAGCCCAAAUCGGAUUAGCUAGUUGGCGGGGUAACGGCCCACCAAGGCGACGAUCCGUAGCUGGUCUGAGAGGACGAUCAGCCACACCGGAACUGAGACACGGUCCGGACUCCUACGGGAGGCAGCAGUGGGGAAUAUUGGACAAUGGGGGAAACCCUGAUCCAGCGACGCCGCGUGGGUGAAGAAGGCCUGCGGGUUGUAAAGCCCUUUCGGUAGGGACGAAAGCUCUUGCUCUAAUAAUGCAAGAGGUUGACUAACC